CCUACGGUCGGCAGCAGUGGGGAAUUGUUCGCAAUGGGCGCAAGCCUGACGACGCAACGCCGCGUGGAGGAUGAAGGUCUUCGGAUUGUAAACUCCUGUUGCCCGGGACGAAAAGCCUCGACCUAACACGUUGAGGUCUGACGGUACCGGGUGAGGAAGCCCCGGCUAACUCUGUGCCAGCAGCCGCGGUAAUACAGAGGGGGCAAGCGUUGUUCGGAAUUACUGGGCGUAAAGGGCGCGUAGGCGGCCUUCUAAGUCGAACGUGAAAUCCCCGGGCUCAACCCGGGAACUGCGUCCGAUACUGGAAGGCUUGAAUUCGGGAGAGGGAUGCGGAAUUCCAGGUGUAGCGGUGAAAUGCGUAGAUAUCUGGAGGAACACCGGUGGCGAAGGCGACAUCCUGGACCGGCAUUGACGCUGAGGCGCGAAAGCCAGGGGAGCAAACGGGAUUAGAUACCCUGGUAGUC
rnacentral:misc_RNA from 1 species